rnacentral:rRNA from 1 species
AGAGUUUGAUCAUGGCUCAGGAUGAACGCUGGCGGUCUGCUUAACACAUGCAAGUCGAACGAAUCCCUUUGGGGAUGAGUGGCGGACGGGUGAGUAACGCGUGAGAAUCUGCCAAAAGGACUGGGACAACCACUGGAAACGGUGGCUAAUACCGGAUGAGCCGCAACGUAAAAGAGGAAACUCGCCUCUUGAGGAGCUCGCGUCUGAUUAGCUAGUUGGUAGGGUAAAAGCUUACCAAGGCAUCGAUCAGUAGCUGGUCUGAGAGGAUGACCAGCCACACUGGGACUGAGACACGGCCCAGACUCCUACGGGAGGCAGCAGUGGGGAAUUUUCCGCAAUGGGCGAAAGCCUGACGGAGCAAGACCGCGUGAGGGAAGAAGGCUCUUGGGUCGUAAACCUCUUUUGUCAGGGAAGAACACAAUGACGGUACCUGAAGAAUCAGCAUCGGCUAACUCCGUGCCAGCAGCCGCGGUAAUACGGAGGAUGCAAGCGUUAUCCGGAAUUAUUGGGCGUAAAGCGUCCGUAGGUGGUUUUGCAAGUCGGCUGUCAAAGCACAGGGCUUAACCCUGUAAAGGCAGUGGAAACUACAAGACUCGAGUGCAGUAGGGGCAGAGGGAAUUCCCAGUGUAGCGGUGAAAUGCGUAGAGAUUGGGAAGAACACCCGUGGCGAAAGCGCUCUGCUGGACUGCAACUGACACUCAGGGACGAAAGCUAGGGGAGCGAAUGGGAUUAGAUACCCCAGUAGUCC